rnacentral:rRNA from 1 species
AUAAGUAACCUGGCCUUUACAGGGGAGUAACUAUUGGAAACGAUAGCUAAGACCGCAUAGGUGUCAUAACCGCAUGGAGGAUGAUAUGAAAUAUGCUACGGCAUAGGUAGAGGAUGGACUUAUGGCGCAUUAGCUAGUUGGAGGGGUAACGGCCCACCAAGGCGACGAUGCGUAGCCGACCUGAGAGGGUGACCGGCCACACUGGGACUGAGACACGGCCCAG